rnacentral:rRNA from 1 species
GAUGAACGCUGGCGGCGUGCCUAAUACAUGCCAGUCGAGCGAACGGACGAGAAGCUUGCUUCUCUGAUGUUAGCGGCGGACGGGUGAGUAACACGUGGAUAACCUACCUAUAAGACUGGGAUAACUUCGGGAAACCGGAGCUAAUACCGGAUAAUAUUUUGAACCGCAUGGUUCAAAAGUGAAAGACGGUCUUGCUGUCACUUAUAGAUGGAUCCGCGCUGCAUUAGCUAGUUGGUAAGGUAACGGCUUACCAAGGCAACGAUGCAUAGCCGACCUGAGAGGGUGAUCGGCCACACUGAGACUGAGACACGGUCCAGACUCCUACGGGAGGCAGCAGUAGGGAAUCUUCCGCAAUGGGCGAAAGCCUGACGGAGCAACGCCGCGUGAGUGAUGAAGGUCUUCGGAUCGUAAAACUCUGUUAUUAGGGAAGAACAUAUGUGUAAGUAACUGUGCACAUCUUGACGGUACCUAAUCAGAAAGCCACGGCUAACUACGUG